rnacentral:rRNA from 1 species
CCCUUAGAUGUUCUGGGCCGCACGCGCGGUACACUGAUGCAUUCAACGAGCCUAUCCUUGACCGACAGGUCCGGGUAAUCUUUGAAUCUGCAUCGUGACGGGGAUAGAUUAUUGCAAUUAUUAAUCUUCAACGAGGAAUGCCUAGUAGGCGCAAGUCAUCAGCUUGCGUCGAUUACGUCCCUGCCCUUUGUACACACCGCCCGUCGCUCCUACCGAUUGGGUGUGCUGGUGAAAUGUUCGGAUCGGCCGUUUGUCGCGGUUUCCGCGUCAUGUGGCUGAGAAGUUCAUUAAACCCUCCCACCUAGAGGAAGGAGAAGUCGUAACA